AAAUAAUACAAUUAAAUUAAUUUAGUUUUAAUUAAUUGAUAAUUUUAAAUUUAAAUUAUGAAUUUAAUAAGUGAAAUUUUAAAUUUUAAAAAGAUUUAUAUUUGUUAAUGAUUUAAGAAAUUUUAUAUAUAAACUAGGAUUAGAUACCCUAUUAUUUAAAAUGUAAUUUUAUAAACUAAAUUAGUAUAAGAUAUGUUCUUUAAAAUUAAAGAUUUUGGCGGUAUUUUAGUCUAUUCAGAGGAACCUGUUCUGUAAUUGAUAGUCCACGAUUUAAUUUACUUAUUUUAUUAAUUUACAUAUCGUCGUAGUUUGAAUAUUUUAUUAGAAUUUUAAUAUUCAAGAUUUAUUAUAAUAAAAAAAAUCAGAUCAAGGUGUAGUUUAUAAAUAAGAAGAAAUGGGUUACUAUAAUAAAAAUUUAGGAUUAUUAUUUUUAAAAUAGCUUGAAUAUGGAUUUGAAAGUAAUUUUAAUUAAUUAAUUAAAAUGAUUUUAGCUCUAAAAU
rnacentral:rRNA from 1 species